CCACGUUCCGCUUGACAUGACGCCAUAUUUUUUUGCAAAAAGUUCUGCAGUCCAUUCUGCAUACAUGUAUUUUGUAUUCAGUGCGUUAUUAGUGCUACUGGUACGAAUUUGGUUCCGGUUUCAGGCGGUUUCAGUUCCAGACAAUGACCCGCAAUGACCAUCGUACCGACAGUUUUUGCAGAUGCUGCUUCGAUCGCUGGAUUGAACCGUUCAAAACAAUAAGUUGUAAUUGAAUUAAUAUUGUGUAUUCAAUGGAUGUAAUACUUAAAUAAAAUCAAAAAUUCUCAAUA